GCAAGUCGAACGAGAAAGCUUCCUUCGGGAAGUGAGUAGAGUGGCGCACGGGUGAGUAACGCGUAGGUAAUCUACCCUAAUAUCUGGGAUAACAUCGGGAAACUGGUGCUAAUACUGGAUACCCUUCAUAACUGCCGGGUUAUGUAGGAAAGGUGGCCUCUUCAUGAAAGCUACCGUAUAAGGAUGAGCCUGCGUACCUUUAGCUAGUAGGUGGGGUAACGGCCCACCUAGGCAACGAUGGUUAGCGGGUCUGAGAGGAUGAUC
rnacentral:rRNA from 1 species